rnacentral:rRNA from 1 species
UACGGAGGGUGCAAGCGUUAUCCGGAUUCAUUGGGUUUAAAGGGUGCGUAGGUGGGUUGGUAAGUCAGUGGUGAAAUCCCCGAGCUUAACUUGGGAACUGCCAUUGAUACUAUCAGUCUUGAAUACCGUGGAGGUCAGUGGAAUAUGUCAUGUAGCGGUGAAAUGCAUAGAUAUGACUUAGAACACCAAUUGCGAAGGCAGCUUACUAAACAGUUAUUGACGCUGAGGCACGAAAGCGUGGGGAUCAAACAGG